AACGAACGCUGGCGGCAGGCUUAACACAUGCAAGUCGAGCGCCCCGCAAGGGGAGCGGCAGACGGGUGAGUAACGCGUGGGAAUCUACCCAUCUCUACGGAAUAACGCAUGGAAACGUGUGCUAAUACCGUAUACGUCCUUCGGGAGAAAGAUUUAUCGGAGAUGGAUGAGCCCGCGUUGGCUUAGCUAGUUGGUGGGGUAAAGGCCUACCAAGGCGACGAUCCAUAGCUGGUCUGAGAGGAUGAUCAGCCACACUGGGACUGAGACACGGCCCAGACUCCUACGGGGGGCAGCAGUGGGGAAGAUUGGACAAUGGGCGCAAGCCGGAUCCAGCCAUGCCGUGUGAGUGAUGAAGGCCCUAGGGUUGUAAAGCUCUUUCACCGGUGAAGAUAAUGACGGUAACCGGAGAAGAAGCCCCGGCUAACUUCGUGCCAGCCGCCGCCGUAAUAC
rnacentral:rRNA from 1 species